rnacentral:lncRNA from 1 species
GGACCCAGAGGGAGCGGAGCACGCGCCUUUGGGAAUCUUCGGUGCGCCAAGUCUGUUCGCCGCCGGGGUCUAUCACCCCCGCCCCUCGCCUCUGCCCGUGAGCGUCAGCUGGCUUGGCUUUUUCAGAGGAAACAGAGACUCUCAGACAUGAAUACUGUGACACUGACCACCAGGCCAACUUAACAUCAGCAGAUAUCCUGUCUCAGAUGAAGAGAUGGAGUCUCGCACUGUCGCCCCAGUUGGAGUGUAAUGGUGCGAUCUCGGCUCACUGCAAGCUCCGCCUCCCGGGUUCAUGCCAUUCUCCUGCCUCAGCCUCCUGAGUAGCUGGAACUACAGAAUGGCCUGUCCAGAAGACAGCCAAAUACAUCCUUCAAACAGACUUCACUGCAGGAGACAGAGUGGAUUCAUCCUGUAUUCUCCAUGUAGACUUCCAUCUUCAUGAGUACUCCAAGAAGAUGGUUCAGUUGACUAUUGCAAAGUCUCAGGUAUGUCUUUAUCAGCAGCAUGAAAAUGGACUAAUAGUACCAGUAGAGUGGGGCAUUGCUGAAAAGAUACCCGAAAAUGUGGAAGCAACUUUGGAACUGGGUGUUGAAAUAAUCUGGAGGGCUCAGAAGAAGAUAGGAAAAUGUAGGAAAGUUUGGAACCUCCUAGAGACUGUGAAUGGCAUUGACAAAAAUACUGAUAGUGAUAUGAACAAUAAGGUCCAGGCUGAGGUGGUCUCAGAUGGAGAUGAAGACCUUGUUGGGAACUGAAGUAAAGGUGACCCUUGUUAUGUUUUAGCAAGGAGACUGGCAGCAUUUCACCCUUGCCCUAGAGAUUUGUGGAACUUAGAGCUUGAGAGAGAUGACUUAGGGUAUCUGGUGG